rnacentral:misc_RNA from 1 species
UUUCCGUAGGUGAACCUGCGGAAGGAUCAUUCAUAAUAAGUGUUUUACUGCACUUUUUAAAAAUAGUACUCACCUUGUGUGCAACGUUGUGUUUCUUUUCGGAGAAACACCUACACCAACCUAUAACCUUGAACCACUUUGUCUGAAAAACUAUUAUGAAUACUUAAUUCAAAAUACAACUUUCAACAACGGAUCUCUUGGCUCUC